rnacentral:rRNA from 1 species
UACGUAGGUGGCAAGCGUUGUCCGGAUUUAUUGGGUUUAAAGGGUGCGUAGGCGGCUUUGUAAGUCAGUGGUGAAAUAUGGCAGCUCAACUGUCAAGGUGCCAUUGAUACUGCAGAGCUUGAGUACAGAUGAGGUAGGCGGAAUUGACGGUGUAGCGGUGAAAUGCUUAGAUAUCGUCAAGAACACCUAUAGCGAAGGCAGCUUACUAGGCUGUAACUGACGCUGAGGCACGAAAGCGUGGGGAGCGAACAGG